CUGCAGGUACCGUCAUCAGUAUAUCAUUUCCUAUAUACCUUAUUCUUCCCUGCCGAAAGAGCUUUACAACCAAGGCCUUCAUCACUCACGCGGGAUUGCUCCGUCAGACUUUCGUCCAUUGCGGAAUAUU
rnacentral:rRNA from 1 species